rnacentral:tRNA from 1 species
GGGCAGGUAGCUCAGCUGGUAGAGCAUGGCACUGAAAAUGCCAGGGUCCCCAGUUCAACUCUGGGCCUGCCCACCA